UACGUAGGGUCCGAGCGUUGUCCGGAAUUACUGGGCGUAAAGCGUGCGCAGGCGGUGAGCUGUGUCCGAUGUGAAAGCCCCGGGCUUAACCUGGGAAUGGCAUUGGAAACUGGCUCGCUGGAGUGUGGCAGAGGGGGGUGGAAUUCCGCGUGUAGCAGUGAAAUGCGUAGAGAUGCGGAGGAACACCGAUGGCGAAGGCAGCCCCGUGGGCUAACACUGACGCUCAGGCACGAAAGCGUGGGGAGCAAACAGG
rnacentral:rRNA from 1 species